UUGGUCUGCGGGCGCCGGAAGUUGCAGGGACCAGGGUCUCCCACCCCACUCCCUGAAGGGCCCCAGAGCCCGAGGGCGCGCGGGGGACUCAGGAAGAGCGGCUAGUGCAACAGGCCAGUGGGGUUGGGACUACACGUGUUUGCAUCCAAAGUUCAGGCGGGACAGGAGCCUGGUAAGGGGGCUGCGUUCACGCGAGCAGCCCGGCCUCUGACAGAACCCGGGUCCGGCCUUGGCCGACGUCGUGGGGAAAGGGUGGUCAGUCUCAGCCAACACACCCGAGGUACCACGGCCAGAGAUGUCCCUCCCGGAGCUCCGAGGACUCUCGAGCACCAGAUGAGGAGAGAGUGACCACCAGACCCAGAAGGAAAGAAUCCUGUCCUGUAGAAAGACUACCGGGAGACAGAAGCAGGGACCUUCAGUCCAGGGACACAGCCAGCUCAUGGAGACCCCAGGGAGGCGGCCAUGAAAACAAACUACUUUGACUCUUCUCCCUCCCGGAAGUCCCCUGAGGUGCUCUCCCCAAUGGCAAACCAGCAGGAAGCCAAAGGACGUGGGAAUCCAAGGACAGCCUCCUUGGGUGUGGAGGAGGGCAGGGAGAGGUGCUGGGGAUAGGCUGGGGGCAGGACUGUGAAAUCAGGCAAACUGGGCUCCAAUUCUUUUGGACUUCUGUCUGUGAACCUUGGACAAGUUAUUCAAGGCACCAGACAUGUGAGUGAAGUAUCUUGGACCCUUCAGGCCAGCCCAUCUGUUAGUUAAAUGCCAAUGUCACAUGAGAUAGAAGAAUCACUAGAUGAGCCCUGCCUGAAUUCUUGACCAAUAAAUUCCUGAAAUAUAAUAAAAUGAUGCAAUUUGGGAUCUUUUGUUUUGAAAAAGUAGUUAAGCAGGAAACAACACAUCUUACGAGUUUUCCUUCUUUAUCUGACCUCCAAUAGGAUCCACAUCUCCAUUCCCGGUUACUUUGGAGAAAUCUUGAAAAAGAGAGAGAGGGAAGCUUUAUUAUUGCAAAAUCAAUUAGUGUCCUCAGGGUCAGAUGGAAACAAAAAUGUCUGUACGAGCUGGGUAGAGUUGGGAUGAACUGGAAACUUCCAAAUCUCAAGGGAAGGAGAUUUAACGAAGGCAGGAAAAACGGGAGGCCAGAAUCAUUGGCAGCUGUCUUAGAACAGCUAUGACAGGCAGACUCCCAAGUGCAAAACAGUCAGGAACUCCUCUUUAGCAUCAGUCACUCAGGCCUGGUCU